CCGGUAAACGGCGGCCGUAACUAUAACGGUCCUAAGGUAGCGAAAUUCCUUGUCGGGUAAGUUCCGACCUGCACGAAUGGCGUAAUGAUGGCCAGGCUGUCUCCACCCGAGACUCAGUGAAAUUGAACUCGCUGUGAAGAUGCAGUGUACCCGCGGCAAGACGGAAAGACCCCGUGAACCUUUACUAUAGCUUGACACUGAACAUUGAGCCUUGAUGUGUAGGAUAGGUGGGAGGCUUUGAAGUGUG
rnacentral:rRNA from 1 species